rnacentral:rRNA from 1 species
AUUGAACGCUGGCGGCAGGCCUAACACAUGCAAGUCGAGCGAGCGGCGGACGGGUGAGUAAUGUAUGGGGACUGCCCGCUAGAGGGGGAUAACUACUGGAAACGGUUGCUAAUACCGCAUACUAUCGGAUAACCCAUAUGGGAUUAGCUAGUAGGUGAGGUAAUGGCUCACCUAGGCGACGAUCCCUAGCUGGUCUGAGAGGAUGAUCAGCGACAUUGGGGCUGAGAUACGGCUCAGACACCUACGGAGGCAGCAGUGGGGGAUAGUGCGCAAUGGUCGAAAGCCUGAUGCAGCGACGCCGCGUGGGGGAUGAAGGCUUUCGGGUUGUAAACCGCUUGCGCUAUCGAACGGGUAGGUGGAGAAGAAGCGCCGGCUAACUACGUGCCAGCAGCCGCGGUAAUAC